GAUGAAGAACGCAGCGAAAUGCGAUAAGUAAUGUGAAUUGCAGAAUUCAGUGAAUCAUCGAAUCUUUGAACGCACAUUGCGCCCGCUAGUAUUCUGGCGAGCAUGCCUGUCCGAGCGUCAUUUCAACCCUCAAGCCCCCGGGCUUGGUGUUGGGGAUCGGCGAGCCUCCGCGCCCGCCGUCCCCUAAAUCUAGUGGCGGUCUCGCUGUAGCUUCCUCUGCGUAGUAGCACACCUCGCACUGGGAAACAGCGCGGCCACGCCGUUAAACCCCCAACUUCUGAACGUUUGACCUCGGAUCAGGUAGGAAUACCCGCUGAACUUAAGCAUAUCAAUAAGCGGAGGA
rnacentral:misc_RNA from 1 species